rnacentral:rRNA from 1 species
GAUGAACGCUGGCGGCGUGCCUAAUACAUGCAAGUCGAGCGAACAGAUGAGGAGCUUGCUCCUCUGACGUUAGCGGCGGACGGGUGAGUAACACGUGGAUAACCUACCUAUAAGACUGGGAUAACUUCGGGAAACCGGAGCUAAUACCGGAUAAUAUAUUGAACCGCAUGGUUCAAUAGUGAAAGACGGUUUUGCUGUCACUUAUAGAUGGAUCCGCGCCGCAUUAGCUAGUUGGUAAGGUAACGGCUUACCAAGGCAACGAUGCGUAGCCGACCUGAGAGGGUGAUCGGCCACACUGGAACUGAGACACGGUCCAGACUCCUACGGGAGGCAGCAGUAGGGAAUCUUCCGCAAUGGGCGAAAGCCUGACGGAGCAACGCCGCGUGAGUGAUGAAGGUCUUCGGAUCGUAAAACUCUGUUAUUAGGGAAGAACAAAUGUGUAAGUAACUAUGCACGUCUCGACGGUACCUAAUCAGAAAGCCACGGCUAACUACGUG